CUUCAUCGUAUUUCCCUUCCCACAGAACUGUGAUCAGAAAUUACCUCUGCCACUUAGUGCUACUGCUUGGAAUUGAAACUCUGCUAAUAUUUGGAACAUUAUUCUUGUCAAUUGUAUGCAAACCCUGUAGAGAUUACUAUUAUUGUUGUUAUUUUGCUUCUAAUUUAACUAAAUAUUCUUACAGGAACUGAUUUGGGCUGAAUUAGGGUUCUGUUGUGUUAAUCAGAAGGAUUUUCUAUUGAGUGUUUGUCUGAGAAACAUGUUGAAGCAAGCAAUUGGAAGAUUUUGCAGCAGAGGAAAUGUUUAUGUUUCUGAAGGAAACAGAGUUUUGCCUUCGAUUUAUGUGCCUUUGUGUAGUUUCCACAAUGGACAAGUAAACUCU
rnacentral:lncRNA from 1 species